rnacentral:misc_RNA from 1 species
GCAAACUGUACUUAGUCAAAACAAACUUGGCCACACGCCUAUGAUAUGAUGAAAGCUAAGAUGAUCAAAUGAGCACAAACUUACACUUAAUUUUGGGAAGAUAACAUGCAGGAUACUAAUUGGAUCAUUCUUCCAGUCAAGCUCACAUUAAAUUAAGGCUCAUUCUUAACAAAUAAGGUUAUCAAAGUAUCACUUAAUAAUGUACACAAUUACUCUAUGAUUAUCUAAAUAUUGGGAUCUUUAGGGAGCUACAU